GUGCUCGCUUUGGCAGCACGUGUACUAAAAUUGGAACGAUACAGAGAAGGUUAGCACAGCCCUGUGCGAGGAUGAUGCACAAAUUCAUGAAGUGUUCCAUAUUUUU